AUGGAAGCAUUUGAGAAAAAAACACCUUUCAAAGUGAAACUGUAUUAUGUUACUGGAACAUUUGUUAAAAAUCUAUUAACCUCUAAGAAGCCAAGAACAGAAAUUCAGCAAUAAAAGGUACUCUCAGAAACCACCUCUGGCCUGAAAAGGGGCCGACUGAAACAUAUACCUAUUUGAAGAUCCCUGGCACACAGAUACAGCAGAAGAAGCCCAAAUGUGUUAUCAAACCAUUGAGAGAAACAGAACUUUCCUCAAAGCCAAGAAACAGCUUUCAAAAGGAAGUUUCCCAAAAACUCUUCUAAAAGUACCAGCAUAUCUUCAAACCAAAUGAGGAAAUUGCAGGCCACAGAUACAAGUAACCAGCUUAACCACUGGAUUGUGCUCUCUCUUUCCUUCUGUAAUCUACUUUGAACAAAUAAUACAAACGUGAAUAAUCCA
rnacentral:lncRNA from 1 species